rnacentral:rRNA from 1 species
AAAUGAAUAGACGGGGGCCCGCACAAGCGGAGGAACAUGUGGUUUAAUUCGAUGAUACGCGAGGAACCUUACCCGGGCUUGAACUGCAGGAGAACGAUUCAGAGAUGAUGAGGUCCUUCGGGACUCCUGUGGAGGUGCUGCAUGGUUGUCGUCAGCUCGUGCCGUGAGGUGUCGGCUUAAGUGCCAUAACGAGCGCAACCCUUGCGCGUAGUUGCCAUCAGGUUAUGCUGGGCACUCUGCGCGGACUGCCACCGCAAGGUGUGAGGAAGGUGGGGAUGACGUCAAAUCAGCACGGCCCUUACGUCCGGGGCUACACACGUGUUACAAUGGGUGGUACAGAGAGCCGGCCGCAUGCAAAUGCGGUCCAAUCCUUAAAGCCGUCCUCAGUUCGGAUUGGGGUCUGCAACCCGACCCCAUGAAGCUGGAUUCGCUAGUAAUCGCGCAUCAGCCAUGGCGCGGUGAAUACGUUCCCGGGCCUUGUACACACCGCCCGU